UUGGGACUGAGACACGGCCCAGAUUCCUACGGGAGGCAGCAGUGGGGGAUAUUGCGCAAUGGGGGAAACCCUGACGCAGCAACGCCGCGUGAAGGAUGAAGGUCUUCGGAUUGUAAACUUCUUUUAUUAAGGACGAAUAAAGUGACGGUACUUAAUGAAUAAGCUCCGGCUAACUACGUGCCAGCAGCCGCGGUAAUACGUAGGGAGCAAGCGUUGUCCGGAUUUACUGGGUGUAAAGGGUGCGUAGGCGGCUUUGCAAGUCAGAUGUGAAAUCUAUGGGCUCAACCCAUAGCCUGCAUUUGAAACUGCAGAGCUUGAGUGAAGUAGAGGCAGGCGGAAUUCCCCGUGUAGCGGUGAAAUGCGUAGAGAUGGGGAGGAACACCAGUGGCGAAGGCGGCCUGCUGGGCUUUAACUGACGCUGAGGCACGAAAGCGUGGGUAGCAAACAGGAUUAGAUACCCUGGUACUGCACGCUGUAAACGAUAAUAAAUAGGUGUGGGGGGUGUGACCCCUUCCGUGCC
rnacentral:rRNA from 1 species